UGGGAACAUACCCUUCGGUUCGGAACAACUCAGGGAAACUUGAGCUAAUACCGGAUACGCCCUUACGGGGAAAGGUUUACUGCCGAAGGAUCGGCCCGCGUCUGAUUAGCUAGUUGGUGAGGUAACGGCUCACCAAGGCGACGAUCAGUAGCCGACCUGAGAGGGUGAUCGGCCACAUUGGAACUGAGACACGGUCCAAACUCCUACGGGAGGCAG
rnacentral:rRNA from 1 species